rnacentral:rRNA from 1 species
ACACGUGGGCAACCUGCCUGUAAGACUGGGAUAACUUCGGGAAACCGAAGCUAAUACCGGAUAGGAUCUUCUCCUUCAUGGGAGAUGAUUGAAAGAUGGUUUCGGCUAUCACUUACAGAUGGGCCCGCGGUGCAUUAGCUAGUUGGUGAGGUAACGGCUCACCAAGGCAACGAUGCAUAGCCGACCUGAGAGGGUGAUCGGCCACACUGGGACUGAGACACGGCCCAUACUCCUACGGGAGGCAGCAGUAGGGAAUCUUCCGCAAUGGACGAAAGUCUGACGGAGCAACGCCGCGUGAGUGAUGAAGGCUUUCGGGUCGUAAAACUCUGUUGUUAGGGAAGAACAAGUACGAGAGUAACUGCUCGUACCUUGACGGUACCUAACCAGAAAUCCACGGCUAACUACGUGCCAGCAGCCGCGGUAAUACGUAUGUGGUAAGCGUUAUCCGGAAUUAUUGGGCGUAAAGCGCGCGCAGGCGGUUUCUUAAUUCUGAUGUGAAAGCCCACUGCUCAACCGUGGAGGGG